rnacentral:RNase_P_RNA from 1 species
UGAGGAGAACGGGCGGUCGCCGCUUAUGCUAUCAGAAUUUCUUAUAUACAUAAGGUGAGGAAAGUCCGAGCACCAUUGGAUAGAGUGCCUGUUAACGGCAGGACGAGGUAACUCGAUGGAAAGUGCAACAGAAAAUAUACCGCCUACAUUAUGCUAGGUAAGGUUGAAAUGGCGAGGUAAGAGCUCACCAGCUAAUUGGUAACAUUUGGCGUAUGGUAAACCCCACUCGGUGCAAGACCAAAUAGGGAAACAAUAAUCGAAUCCACGUAGUUUUCGGGUUGGUUGCUUGACCUUGUAAGUGAUUACAAGGCUAGAUAGAUGACCGUUAAUCUUUUAAAGAUACAGAACUCGGCUUACAGUUCUCCUCUUACA